rnacentral:rRNA from 1 species
UCCGUGGGGGGCUAGCGUUGUCCGGAAUCAUUGGGCGUAAAGAGCGUGUAGGCGGUCCGGUAAGUCCGUUGUGAAAGUCAGGGGCUCAACCCUUGAAUGCCGGCGGAUACUGUCGGGCUAGAGUCCGGAAGAGGCAAGUGGAAUUCCCGGUGUAGCGGUGAAAUGCGCAGAUAUCGGGAGGAACACCUAUGGCGAAGGCAGCUUGCUGGGACGGUACUGACGCUGAGACGCGAAAGCGUGGGGAGCAAACAGG